rnacentral:lncRNA from 1 species
UACAUAACUUGAAUACAGCAUUGGUACAGUUAUAAUAUAUGUAAUUUUACAGGCAAAAAUCAAAAUUUUGCAAGCAUGAUCCGAUCAUAACAUGUAACUUUAUUUACUUCAAUUUGUAGAAUUCAAAUCACUAAUCAAUUAUUCAUAAUUAUAGAAAUUUCAUGCAUGAUUAAAUUUGAAUGCAAUCAUAGUUGUUUGUAUCAUUUCAAAGAGAUAAGAUAAAUUUUUAUUUAAUUUUGAUUGUUUACUAUAAGAUAUAAAUGUUACUUAUCUCGCAGA